rnacentral:rRNA from 1 species
AAUUCGAUUAGAGUUUGAUCCUGGCUCAGAUUGAACGCUGGCGGCAUGCCUUACACAUGCAAGUCGAACGGCAGCACGGGAGCUUGCUCCUGGUGGCGAGUGGCGAACGGGUGAGUAAUACAUCGGAACGUACCCAGGAGUGGGGGAUAACGUAGCGAAAGUUACGCUAAUACCGCAUAUUCUGUGAGCAGGAAAGCGGGGGAUCGCAAGACCUCGCGCUCUUGGAGCGGCCGAUGUCGGAUUAGCUAGUUGGUGAGGUAAAAGCUCACCAAGGCGACGAUCCGUAGCAGGUCUGAGAGGAUGAUCUGCCACACUGGGACUGAGACACGGCCCAGACUCCUACGGGAGGCAGCAGUGGGGAAUUUUGGACAAUGGGGGCAACCCUGAUCCAGCCAUGCCGCGUGAGUGAAGAAGGCCUUCGGGUUGUAAAGCUCUUUCGGCGGGGAAGAAAUGGCAACGGCUAAUAUCCGUUGUUGAUGACGGUACCCGCAUAAGAAGCACCGGCUAACUACGUGCCAGCAGCCGCGGUAAUACGUAGGGUGCGAGCGUUAAUCGGAAUUACUGGGCGUAAAGCGUGCGCAGGCGGUUUCGUAAGACAGACGUGAAAUCCCCGGGCUCAACCUGGGAACUGCGUUUGUGACUGCGAGGCUAGAGUACGGCAGAGGGGGGUAGAAUUCCACGUGUAGCAGUGAAAUGCGUAGAGAUGUGGAGGAAUACCGAUGGCGAAGG